GAGGGUAUAGCUCAGUGGUGGAGUGCAUGCUUAGCAUGCACGAGGUCAUGGGCUUGACCCCCAUUACCUCCA
rnacentral:tRNA from 1 species